UACGAAGGGUGCUAGCGUUGUUCGGAAUUACUGGGCGUAAAGCGCGCGCAGGCGGCUAUCCAAGUCAGUGGUGAAAGCCCGGAGCUCAACUCCGGAACUGCCAUUGAAACUGUUUAGCUUGAGGACGAGAGAGGUGAGUGGAAUUCCCAGUGUAGAGGUGAAAUUCGUAGAUAUUGGGAAGAACACCGGUGGCGAAGGCGGCUCACUGGCUCGUAUCUGACGCUCAGGCGCGACAGCGUGGGGAUCAAACAGG
rnacentral:rRNA from 1 species